rnacentral:tRNA from 2 species
GGCGCAGUGGUGAAGAGGAAACACGGCUGUCUGCAAAACAGCUACGCAGCGGUUCGAUUCCGCUCUGCGCCU